rnacentral:rRNA from 1 species
AUCAUGGAGAGUUUGAUCCUGGCUCAGGACGAACGCUGGCGGCGUGCUUUAUACAUGCAAGUCGAACGAGGACCGGGUGCUUGCACCCGGAGCCGAGUGGCGAACGGGUGAGUAACACGUGACCAAUCUACCCUUGGGAGAGGGACAACCUGGGGAAACCCGGGCUAAUACCACAUGAUGUGCAGCGAUCGCAUGUUGGCUGCACCAAAGGGGGCCUCUACUUGUAAGCUCUCGCCCAGGGAGGAGGUCGCGGCGUAUCAGCUUGUUGGUGGGGUAACGGCCUACCAAGGCGACGACGCGUAGCGGGUCUGAGAGGACGAUCCGUCACAUUGGGACUGAGAUACGGCCCAGACUCCUACGGGAGGCAGCAGUAGGGAAUA